CUUCUCACAGGACCCACGACUUCUCUUGUCACAAGCUUUAUUCAAUUAUUGAGCCGUGAAUUUGCAAUAUGUUGAUUGAGCCGAAUGUUCUACUACCCGACGGUCAGCAAAUGGGUAUUGCAUCUUUUUUGGUCAGAAUCUUAAUUCCUAGUGUGCAAAGAAGCAACCCACAAUCUCACGCUCCAACACUAAAGUUGAGUAUCAUGCUAUGGCAAAUACUGUAGUAGAACUUCCUUGGCUAAGCUUUAUCCUUAAAGACCUUCACAUCCCAGUAGCAUCUCUUUCGGUUCUCUAUUGUGACAAUCUUAGUUCUCUUCAUCUGACUGUUAAUCCGGUGUUCCAUGCUCGCAGUAAGCAUAUUGAAUUAGACCAUCACUUUAAAGUGAACGGGUUGCUCUUGGACAUCUUAUCACGAAA